rnacentral:rRNA from 3 species
GGACUACUCGGGUAUCUAAUCCCGUUCGCUCCCCUGGCUUUCGCGUCUCAGCGUCAGUAAACGUCCAGGACCUCGCUUUCGCCACGGGCGUUCCUUCCGAUCUCAACGCAUUUCACCGCUCCACCGGAAGUUCCAGGUCCCCCUACGUUCCUCCAGACCGGUCGUAUCGGCGCCCGUUCCCCGGUUGAGCCGGGGGAUUUCAGCGACCGACGUGCCGAUCCGCCUACACGCGCUUUAAGCCCAGUGAUUCCGAAUAACGUUCGCACGGUUCGUCUUACCGCGGCUGCUGGCAC